rnacentral:rRNA from 1 species
AUUGAACGCUGGCGGCAUGCUUUACACAUGCAAGUCGAACGGCAGCAUAGGAGCUUGCUCCUGAUGGCGAGUGGCGAACGGGUGAGUAAUAUAUCGGAACGUGCCCUAGAGUGGGGGAUAACUAGUCGAAAGACUAGCUAAUACCGCAUACGAUCUACGGAUGAAAGUGGGGGACCGCAAGACCUCAUGCUCCUGGAGCGGCCGAUAUCUGAUUAGCUAGUUGGUGGGGUAAAAGCCUACCAAGGCAACGAUCAGUAGCUGGUCUGAGAGGACGACCAGCCACACUGGGACUGAGACACGGCCCAGACUCCUACGGGAGGCAGCAGUGGGGAAUUUUGGACAAUGGGGGCAACCCUGAUCCAGCAAUGCCGCGUGAGUGAAGAAGGCCUUCGGGUUGUAAAGCUCUUUUGUCAGGGAAGAAACGGUAGUAGCGAAUAACUAUUACUAAUGACGGUACCUGAAGAAUAAGCACCGGCUAACUACGUGCCAGCAGCCGCAGUAA